rnacentral:rRNA from 1 species
GAUGAACGCUGGCGGCGUGCUUAACACAUGCAAGUCGAACGAAGCACUUUAUUUGAUUUCCUUCGGGACUGAUUAUUUUGUGACUGAGUGGCGGACGGGUGAGUAACGCGUGGGUAACCUGCCUUGUACAGGGGGAUAACAGUUGGAAACGGCUGCUAAUACCGCAUAAGCGCACGGCAUCGCAUGAUGCAGUGUGAAAAACUCCGGUGGUAUAAGAUGGACCCGCGUUGGAUUAGCUAGUUGGUGAGGUAACGGCCCACCAAGGCGACGAUCCAUAGCCGACCUGAGAGGGUGACCGGCCACAUUGGGACUGAGACACGGCCCAAACUCCUACGGGAGGCAGCAGUGGGGAAUAUUGCACAAUGGGCGAAAGCCUGAUGCAGCGACGCCGCGUGAGCGAGGAAGUAUUUCGGUAUGUAAAGCUCUAUCAGCAGGGAAGAUAAUGACGGUACCUGACUAAGAAGCACCGGCUAAAUACGUG